ensembl:misc_RNA Y_RNA Y RNA
AGCUGGUUGGAAGGUAGAGAGUUAUCUCAAUUGGUUGCUCAGACAGCCAAUUUUGUCUGACUGGAGAUUGAACUCCUGAUCUACACUUGACCCUCUUCUCAUUACUGUACUUUACUAGUCUUAA